GUCCAGGGGCGGGAAUCGAACCCACAACCUUCUGCUGGACAUGGCACCUGCCCGGUAAGCAGAAGGUUGUGGGUUCGAUUCCCGCCCCUGGACA